UGGGGAAUUUUGGACAAUGGGCGCAAGCCUGAUCCAGCCAUGCCGCGUGUAUGAAGAAGGCCUUCGGGUUGUAAAGUACUUUUGUCAGGGAAGAAAAGCCUGGAGAUAACACCCCCAGGUCAUGACGGUACCUGAAGAAUAAGCACCGGCUAACUACGUGCCAGCAGCCGCGGUAAUACGUAGGGUGCGAGCGUUAAUCGGAAUUACUGGGCGUAAAGCGAGCGCAGACGGUUAUUUAAGCAAGAUGUGAAAGCCCCGGGCUCAACCUGGGAACUGCGUUUUGAACUGGGUAACUAGAGUGUGUCAGAGGGGGGUAGGAUUCCACGUGUAGCAGUGAAAUGCGUAGAGAUGUGGAGGAAUACCGAUGGCGAAGGCAGCCCCCUGGGAUAACACUGACGUUCAUGCUCGAAAGCGUGGGUAGCAAACA
rnacentral:rRNA from 1 species